CCUACGGGGUGCAGCAGUGGGGAAUAUUGCACAAUGGGGGAAACCCUGAUGCAGCGACGCCGCGUGAGUGAAGAAGUAAUUCGUUAUGUAAAGCUCUAUCAGCAGGGAGGAAAAUGCCGGUACCUGAGUAAGAAGCACCGGCUAACUACGUGCCAGCAGCCGCGGUAAUACGUAGGGGGCAAGCGUUAUCCGGAUUUACUGGGUGUAAAGGGAGCGUAGACGGCAGUGCAGGUCUGGAGUGAAAGGGGGGGGCUCAACCCCCGGACUGCUCUGGAAACUGUACGGCUGGAGUGCAGGAGAGGUAAGUGGAAUGCCUAGUGUAGCGGUGAAAUGCGUAGAUAUUAGGAGGAACACCAGUGGCGAAGGCGGCUUACUGGACUGUAACUGACGUUGAGGCUCGAAAGCGUGGGGAGCAAACAGGAUUAGAUACCCUAGUAGUC
rnacentral:rRNA from 1 species